rnacentral:lncRNA from 1 species
CAUUUCCUGGGACCUAGAACGGGCCUAGCUCAGAGCAGGUGCUCACUAUUGAUGGAAUGCAUGUUGAAAGAAUGCAUGAAUCUCAUCUCCUUUUGUGGGUGAAAAUCUCAUCCUAUUCUCACUCCUGAUUAACUUUCUUUCUUUUUUUUUUUUCAAAACGGAGCCCUGAUCUGUCACCCAGGCUGGAGUGCAAUGGUGCCAUCUCAGCUCGCUGCAACCUCUGCCUUCUGGAUUAAAGCAAUUCUCCUGCCUCAGCCUCCCGGGUAGCUGGGAUUACAGGGGAGUCCUUGAGCAGAAGGAAGCAAGUUGCCUGAGAUUCUUCAAAGCCCGCAGCCCUUUUGGAGGUUAGAUGGUUAUUCUCAGAGCCUUUAUGAUGCAUAAUAAAGACCUAGCUUGGACCAAUAUUAGGAUGAGUUAUCUUGCUAUUAACAUUCUUUUAGGUAGAAGUUGCUGGUCCCAUCUUGCUCACAAUCCUCCAAAGUUUGAAAGUUAUUUUCCAGGAGACUUGGCUUGCACUGAGAGCUGCCCUCCCACCCUCUCUCCAAAUUUCCUCUUGGGGGUAGCCUAACAAGGUGCUGUCACAGACCCUUGUCGGCCACGAUGACCCCACCCAGACCAUCCCUCUGCUGUUUCACUCUUUGAUAGUCUCUGGAGCUCUCUGGGGAGGGGU